AUGUGUCUGCAGAAGAAUUUGGUAUCUAGGUUUCCUCAAGAGACUAGAUUGCUUACUAUGGCUGAGGAAACCAAACCAAAGAAGCAAAAAGACGAGGAACACAUUAUAAACCGUCUCCCAGGAGAACUCAUUGAGCGGAUAUUUGUGAAGCUUCCAGUGAGCACUUUGUUGAGGUGUACUGGUGUCUGCAAGGAAUGGCACAAAAUCAUCUGA
rnacentral:rRNA from 1 species